GACGAACGCUGGCGGCGUGCUUAACACAUGCAAGUCGAGCGGACGGGCCCGAAUUUUGUGGCGUGCUCGAUAGGCGCACGGGUGAGUAACACGUGAGUAACCUGCACUUGACUUUGGGGUAACUUCUGGAAACUGGGGCUAUUACCGGGUAGGAUCUUCUGCUGCAUGUUGGUGGAUGGAGAGAUUCGGCGGUUGGGGAUGGUCUCGAGGCUUAUCAGCUUCUUGGUGGGGUAGUUGCUUACCAAGGCUGUGACGGGUAGCCGGCCUGAGAGGGUGAACGGGCACAUUGCGACUGAGAUACGGAGCAGACUCCUACGGGAGGCAGCAGUGGGGAACAUGGCACAAUGGGCGGAAGUCUGAUGCAGCAACGCCGCGUGCGGGAUGACGGCCUUUGGGUGGUAAACCGCUGUCGCAUGUGACGAAGCGUGAGUGACGGUAAUGGGUAAAGAAGCAACGGCUAACUACGUG
rnacentral:rRNA from 1 species